UGUAUAAUAAAAUGCUCAGUUCUGCACUGUGCUGCCUUCCACUGGUUAAGGCCUCCAACAGCAAACACCUGCCUAGGCAGAGGAUGUCCCUUUGCCACUCGCAGAGGGGCAGCACUGUCCUGGCCAACAUUUA
rnacentral:snoRNA from 1 species